GUCGAGAAUUUUUCACAAUGGGGGAAACCCUGAUGGAGCGACGCCGCGUGGGGGAUGAAGGGCUUCGGCUCGUAAACCCCUGUCAUUUGUGACCAAGGUUGCCGGUUGAACACAUCGGCGGCUUGAUGGUAGCGAAAGAGGAAGGGACGGCUAACUCUGUGCCAGCAGCCGCGGUAAUACAGAGGUCCCAAGCGUUGUUCGGAUUCACUGGGCGUAAAGGGUGCGUAGGUGGUCGAGCAAGUCUGAUGUGAAAUCUUCAAGCUUAACUUGGAAACUGCAUCGGAAACUGCUCGGCUGGAGGAUUGGAGGGGAGACUGGAAUUCUCGGUGUAGCAGUGAAAUGCGUAGAUAUCGAGAGGAACACCAGUGGCGAAGGCGAGUCUCUGGACAAUUCCUGACACUGAGGCACGAAAGCUAGGGGAGCAAACAGGAUUAGAAACCCUAGUAGUCC
rnacentral:rRNA from 1 species